rnacentral:rRNA from 1 species
AGUGAACGCUGGCGGUAGGCCUAACACAUGCAAGUCGAACGGCAGCACAGUAAGAGCUUGCUCUUACGGGUGGCGAGUGGCGGACGGGUGAGGAAUACAUCGGAAUCUACUUUUUCGUGGGGGAUAACGUAGGGAAACUUACGCUAAUACCGCAUACGACCUACGGGUGAAAGCAGGGGAUCUUCCGACCUUGCGCGAGUGUAUGAGCCGAUGUCGGAUUAGCUAGUUGGCGGGGUAAAGGCCCACCAAGGCGACGAUCCGUAGCUGGUCUGAGAGGAUGAUCAGCCACACUGGAACUGAGACACGGUCCAGACUCCUACGGGAGGCAGCAGUGGGGAAUAUUGGACAAUGGGCGCAAGCCUGAUCCAGCCAUACCGCGUGGGUGAAGAAGGCCUUCGGGUUGUAAAGCCCUUUUGUUGGGAAAGAAAAGCAGCAGGUUAAUACCCCGCUGUUCUGACGGUACCCAAAGAAUAAGCACCGGCUAACUUCGUG